UACGAAGGUCCCAAGCGUUAUCCGGAAUUAUUGGGCGUAAAGCGCAUGCAGGCGGUUUGUUAAGUCUGGUGUGAAAGCUCAAGGCCUAACCUUGAAAUUGCAUUGGAAACUGGCAAACUAGAAUACUGGAGGGGUAAGUGGAAUUCCAUGUGUAGCGGUGGAAUGCGUAGAUAUAUGGAGGAACACCAAUGGCGAAGGCAGCUUACUGGACAGUUAUUGACGCUGAGAUGCGAAAGCGUGGGGAGCAAACAGG
rnacentral:rRNA from 1 species